CACAAGUGAAAAAGUUAGAGAAACCCUACCCUUACCUACCUACCCCACUUUCAGUUUCACGCCUCCAUCUCCCUCACGCCUCACGCCUCCAUCACUCUCCUCACACAAAGCCUCCAUCACUCCCUCUCUCACACACACCAGCCUCCAUCAGUCGACAUCUGCCACCGGCCUCCACACUCCGGCUUCCACACGGCGGCCUCCACGGCUGCUCCACACGCCGGGCUCCACAGCUACUCCACAUACCCCACCGCGGCACAGCCCACACGUAUUCACUGUCACGCCUCACAGCCUCCACUCCACACGAAUCUGCCUCCACAUGCCGGCCUUCACACGUCGUCCUCCCCACGCAGCUUGAUCUUUUCAUUCUCACGUAUGGCUUGCUACAUGUGCUCGGUGCAGCAUUAAGGAUGGUCAAGAUAUUAUUGGGGAGAUGGCAGCGAUUCUCUGCUCAGCCAAAAUGCUGGCACGUCUCCUACUUCUUCUUGCUGGUGCAGGAAGUAGGAGAAGUGCACUGGCAGCCAUAGCUUCAUUACUGGCCUCGACCUCCUCAGUGACAGCUUUAGGCUGCUCAACCUCCUCCUCAAUGACAGCUUCAGGCUCGGCCACCUCAGAAUCAGCUUCCUUUCGUAUGAUAUUAUUGGGGAGAUGUUGGUUAAUGCUGAGGCAAGAAUUCUGAAUUUGGACUGGUGCAAUCCAUGCAAGUUUUUGGAGGCCUAUGAUUGCAAAGGGGAACAGUGUGAGUUUUGUAAGUAUGUUGCUACUGAAGCUGGUUUGGCAGAGCUUGAAUUGAUUGUUAAUUUGAAGACUAGGGAAUUUUUUGUUAGUAAUUUUAGACGAGCCGGGGAAAAAAAGGCAGCAAGGGUUGCUGCUUGGUAUGAGGAA